UUCAUUCAUAAAGUUGUGAUGUGUUGUGCAGUUGUUGUAUUUCUGAUGAUUGUAACGACACUUCUGAUCUUCUUCAUCAGCAGGAAACACAGAAAAAUAAAUAAAGAUUAUCAGACCGGUGAAGAGGAGAUCACUUAUGCAGAACCAACCUUGUGUGAAAGAACAACACAUAAACCGGAGUCUGAGAUGACGGAGGUGCUUUACACAUAUUACAGCAUUUCAAAUAAUUAAAUUAAAAUCAAAUUGACUGAAUUCAGUGUUUAAAACAGAGAUGUAUUUGACUUUUCAUUCACUAUUAAUAUCAUUUCUAUCAUUAAACUCACACAAGUACAUGUUUGAUUGAAAUGCAGUUGUGUGUUGUGUUAUGAUGACCUCUAGUGGUGAGAUGAUGAAACUGAUGUCUGA